GAUGAACGCUGACAGAAUGCUUAACACAUGCAAGUUGAUUCGAUUUACCUUCGGGUAUUGAGGAUGGCGGACGGGUGAGUAACGCGUCGGAACGUGCCGAGUAAUGGGGGAUAACGCAUCGAAAGGUGUGCUAAUACCGCAUACGCUCUGAGGAGGAAAGCGGGGGACCUUCGGGCCUCGCGUUAUUCGAGCGGCCGACGUCUGAUUAGCUAGUUGGUGGGGUAAAGGCUCACCAAGGCGACGAUCAGUAGCGGGUCUGAGAGGAUGAUCCGCCACACUGGGACUGAGACACGGCCCAGACUCCUACGGGAGGCAGCAGUGGGGAAUUUUGGACAAUGGGCGAAAGCCUGAUCCAGCCAUGCCGCGUGAGUGAAGAAGGCCUUCGGGUUGUAAAGCUCUUUUGUCCGGGAGGAAAUCCCGUAACCUAAUACGUUACGGGGAUGACAGUACUGGAAGAAUAAGCACCGGCUAACUACGUGCCAGCCGCCGCGGUAAAAC
rnacentral:rRNA from 1 species